rnacentral:lncRNA from 1 species
CUGGCCCUCGCCAGUACAGGUGUGUAGUACAUAGUGGCUCUCUAUCGGGUGGUCCUCUAAUGUAUAGGCAAACUGGUAGGAAAUGCUAUCUGCUGCGCGAUGUCCCCUCACUUCGAUCAGUUGGUCAAGAAUCCCUGAAAAACAAACAACAAGAGGGUGUGAGAACUACUGAAAGUAGUAGUUUCCAGUGGGUACGGUCGACGAUAACCACAACCUCCCCACUAGGUCUACUGGAGGCUAGCAUAGUGAGAGCAUAGUUAAAGUAUGCGGUAAAUGUAGCUGAAUGUAAAUAUACACGCAGUUGAAUGUAAAUAUACAGGGAAAAUGAGCUAAAUAGGUAAAUGCUUAACUGGCUAUGAUUUGAACAAGUAAAUAUCUCUACUCAUCACUUUAUUAUAAUAAAUAAAUGAAUCACUGACUAUAAACAAUGUUGUGCAUGUAGUAAAGAUAAAGGAAUACUAUCGAUGUCUAUGCCUGCUGCAUUACCAUAUCCCCGCACAUGUAAUGAAAAGAAAAUAAAGAAGCUGAUUAGUGCAUACAUCAAUGCUACUACAAGAAACAAUACUGCAAUAGUAUCCAAUCGCAACGACCGACUCGUACGUCUAGUCAAGCCUGCGCCCACUUAGUGCCGGAAUCGCACUCCCGCAGGUGCACCGUCAACACCUAGGCUCUGACCCCAGCCUGAACACCACUUCCGCAGGUGGGUUGUCUUUCCAAGGGCGCAUAUCAUAUCUCUGCUAUAACUGGCUAACGUCUGGAGUGGCACUCAAAGGGGAGCGACCCCUACCGAGUCUACUAGCAAGUAUCUCUGUCAAAGUCACUGUGGCUCUGCAGGCUAUAGUCUAUAUCAUGGCUAAUAAUAUGACGAUACUCAAUACACUGUCCUCAGCGUAAUCAUGGAGUACACAGGAAGUCAAAUAUCACGAGAGAAUAUGCACACUACUUGAAGGAAUGUAAGAUCGCAAUGUCACAAUACUCACUAGAAGCAACUGCUCUCUCUCUACAUGUCCAACCAUCUGUACACUACCGCCGUGCUACCCACGGCCUAUCACAUAGGUCAUGGCAUGUACAAGAUAAAUAGAUGAUAGCUGACUCACAUAAGUCAUGAGCAAUCGAGGACUCCGCAAGAUGCACAAGUUGUCGAUCGGCCUCCCACGACCUAAGUUUGAACAUCUACUAUGAAAUAAUACUACCUGUCAUCAUAAUACGACGAGUAGACAAUGGGAUUGUCAAAGUGUCACACAAAACGGCCCAACGGUCUCAACACAAUCAUAAAUGUCCAAAAAGCUAUUCACACGUCUCACUAAUCCUUGGCCACAAAGUAUCCAAAAGACCGGCCGUCAAAAGUCUCACGAAGCCUAGACCUCUCGCACGUAACUCAUGGCAUGCUCAAGACAAGGAAAAAGGAAAUAACUCACAUGCUUGCUUCAAUUAUGAUAUGGACAUACUUAUACUUCAUAUUCCAAUACUCAUGUUCAUGUUCAAAUACUCAUAUGCAUGGUAUCAUGUUCAUCCUCAUGUUCAUGUGCAAAUACUCAUGUUCAUGCAUGGAUACUCAUGUUCAUGCAUCGAUUAUCUUGAUAUGAAUCUCGAUACAGUAGAAUUCAUGUACGGAUGCUCAAAUACUAAAUACGGUACCAAAUAGACAGAAGGAAAUUCGUUAUUUUCGGCGACUCGGAACCCACCUCGACUCGUUAUGUUGACUCGAGCAAGAGAAACGCUUUUCACUUGUUUAUCCUCUGCUCUCAAUCACCCGGAACCACUAAUCGAAGAAAAAUCGUCAGAAUUCCCAUCAAAAUGCAAAAUUUCUAAUCGAUCUCAAUUCACGCUAAUUGAACGCCAAUUGCCUUAAAUUGCUACUAACCGGAUGUGUAUAGCACUCUAAUUCACGCUCUUGGAUACCCUGCAAGCAUCAAUUUGAAGUUUAAAGGUGCGAAUUACACCAAUUGUUUCAAUCAUUUUCAUUUCUUUUUCCCCUUUCAUUCCUUUCUCGUUUUUCUCUUUCUUUUUUCUUUUUUUUUCUUUUUUUUUUUUUCUCUCUUGCUGCCCUGCUGCUGCAGGCUGCAGCAGCUUGCUGCUGCCGCAGUAAAUCUGCAGUAGCAGCACCAGGAAGAGGAGAGGGAGGAAGGAAAGGGAAAGGAAAAGAAGGAGAAAAAGAAAGGGAAGAGAAGGGAAAGAAAGAAAGGAAAGAAAAGGGAAGGAAAAAGAAGAAGAAACUUACUUUCUUCCUCAACUUCUUCUUCUUCUUCUUCUUUUCUUUCUCUUUUCUCUUUUCUUUUCUCUUUCUUUUGCAACAAAAAAAUCGGAGAGAACGAGAGAGAAGAGCAUAAAAAUAUCUUCUCUUAGUGGAAUUCCACUAAGAAGCCCCUUUUGCAUCUUAAUCCAAGAAAUUUUCUAUUUGCGAUUUAGUCCUUCUCAUCAACAAUUGGUCUAUUGCGUCUGUUUCCACGUCAAUUUCGCGCCAAAACGGAUUCACCUCAAUUCCACCCUCACGCUCACGCACACACAAGUAACAAAAAGUUCUAUAUUUGCAGUCUAGCCCUCCGUAGAAGGAAAUUCAUUACUCUUAAUUUAUUUUCGCAUCAAGUUCGUGCCGACACAUUUUCACCUCCUUUAAACCUCGCGCUCACGCUCUAACCAGCAUCCUACACUAUGUCUAAUUGGUAAAAUCAGUAUUCUACAGUUUGACGGUAGAAGAGAGGCGGCCUCGCAUGCGACGUUUGGAUCGGAGUCGGCAGCGGAGCUAAGGUUCUCGACCAAUUGUUUGAGCGGUUCGGAUUCUUCGAAGCAACGGCUUGGUCAAAGAUUUCCUUAAUUCUCUAAUUUCGUCUUCUCGGUACGGUUUUACGAAAAGCUUUUUCCGGUGAUUUCUUGAAGUUUUCGUUGGAACAAGAGAAAUGUGAAUCGUGGGAUUCACCAUAAGGCUCUUAGUUUUUAUCUGGAGAAGACAUAAGGUGUAAGCUUGUACUUCUGUUUUUUCGUAAAGUGGAAUACAUCUCUCUCGCUCUCUCCAUGGACGUAGGUAAUUGCUGAACCACGUAAAUCUUGGUUUUUUCUUUCUUUAUUUAUUUCUUUUAUCGUUCGUUCGGUGUUUUCUCUAUUUUUUUCAUACAUUUUUGUUGAUAGCGCAUGACGAACGAUCCAUCCGGUUACCAACAAGUGGUAUCAGAGUAUAAGGUUAAUGCUACAUCAGAGAUGUCGAAGGUCUCGCCUUCUAAGUUUGAGGUGGAGAAAUUUGAUGGUAAAAGAAACUUCGAUCUUUGGUAGAGGAGUGAAAGCCCUUUUGGUACAACAGGGCCUUCAUAAGGCGUUGCUCGGAAAAUCAAAUAAGCCGACAUCGAUAAGCGACGAAGAUUGGGAGGAGAUUGAUCUUCGGGCGGUGAACUCAAUUAUAUUGUGCCUAAUAGAUAAGGUUAUGUAUAACGUUAUGGAUGAAGAAACUACAGUCGGCAUGUGGAACAAGCUAGAGAAGCUGUACAUGAUAAAAAACCUCUUGAACGUGCUACACCUAAAGCAAAAAUUAUAUGUGGCUACGCAUGAAGGAAGGUACGGCAAUAACAGAACAAUUGAACGCCUUUAAUAAAAUUAUUGCAGAUUUGCUUAGCAUUAUUGUCAAGGUUGACGAGGACGAUAAGGCGUUGAUUUUUCUUACGUCACUUCCGUCGUUCUACAAUCAUCUGGUGACAACCAUGCUGUACGGGAAGCAAACUCUAAAGAUGGAAGAUGUUACGUCUACCCUUCUAUCUGAGGAGAUAAGGUUGCAGGUAAGUAUCGAAGAAAGCAGUGCAGAUUUGGUCGUAAAAGAUACAGGUGGAGGAAGGGGACGAUCAAGCGAAUAUGAUGCAGGUAAAGAAAGAUCCCGUUCCAAAUCAAAAUCGAAAAAGGUAAAAGUGUUACUUCUGUAAGAAAGAGGGCCAUGUGAAAAAGAACUGCGAGAAGAGUAAGGUUUGGCUGCGAAAACUCGAUUCCUCUGCAGAUACGGUGAGCGUAGCCAGCGAUUUCGGGCAAGAUGUUUUGAUGGUUACAACAGAUUCUGACUCUCACGGUGACUGGAUAUUAGAUUCUGGUUGUUCUUAUCACAUGUCUCCAAACAGAUCUUUAUUUGAUACUUAUAAGUCUUGUGAAGGCAGUAGUGUUAUGAUGGGUAAUCACGCUAGCUGCAAGAUGGUUGGUAUCAGAACAAUGAACAUAAAGAUGUUUGAUGGUGUGGUGAGAACGUUAACGGAUAUGAGACAUUCCGGAUCUCAGGUUGAAUCUUAUAUCACUUAGUACUCUUGACUCUAUUGGCUGUUCUAUUAGCAUUUCAGGUGGAAUCAUCAAGGUAAAAAUGGGUGCCAUGGUAGUCAUGAAGGGGGAGAAUAAAGGAAAUCCGUGCAAGCUGAUCAGUAAGCCGGUAACAAUGGAGAAGUCUAGGCAUUCUCUAGACUUCGCUAACCUGCAUAACUGUUAGUGUCGGGAUGCCUCUAGGAGGGGGCGAUAAGAUGAGAGAGAGUGAUGGAGUACAAAAGAAGUCAAGGUGGAGAAUGCUAAGAAUAUGCCUUCUUUUGAACUUGGGUUGAGUCAAAUUAAUUAACCCAUCAAGUUGGUACAUAGAAGAUGGUAUAGACUAGGUCCAUAGAAUACAUCAAUUGGUUUUAAGUUUAUUCCUAUUGGUGCAAGAUACAUGUUUUUCUGUACAUGUCCUAGUCUAAUUAACAUUGUUGACUUGUUGACCGGCUAAUGCACCUAUAUAUAUGCAUGCCCCUGCAAACAGUACGGAUGGCGCGCGUGGGAAAAUUAAUUAGCGUCGUCGGGGCUAAUUAAUUCACGACGUCCGGGUGGCCGUACAAUGGUAGAAGAGAGGCGGCCUCGCAUGCGACGUCUGAAUCGGAGUCGGCAGCAGAGCUGAGGUUCUCGACCAAUUGUCUGAGCGAUUCGGAUUCUUUGAAGCCACGGCAUAAAAGUUUUUAGUCAGAGAUUUCCAUAUUCUCUAAUUUAGUCUUCUCGAUAAGGUUUUACAAAAAGCUUUUUUCGGUGAUUUCUUGAAGUUUUCGUUGGAACAAGAGAAAGGUGGAAUUCACCAUAAGGCUCUGGGUUUUUUAUCUGGAGAAGACAUAAGAUGUAAGCUUGUACUUCUGUUUCUUCGUAUAGUGGAAUACAUCUCUCUCGUUCUGUCCGUGGACGUAGGCAAUUGCCGAACCAUGUAAAUCUUGGUUUUUACUUUCUGCAUUUAUUUCUUUUACCGUUCAUUCGUUGUUUUCUCCAUUUUUUUCGUGCAUCUUUGUUGGUAGCGCAGGACGGACUAUCCAUCUGGUUCCCAACAAUUUAGUACUCCUACCCUAUAAGCAAAGUGUUGAAUAACUAGCAGGUUAUUUUUUGAUGUUUUCUUAAUACCAGUUUUACUCUCUUUUUUUUUUUUUUUGGCGUUCAUAUUUUAAGGCUAACAUUUAAGUCACGCUUUCUUCUGUUGUAUACCUUGCAAUUGCUUUCUUACUAUCUUGUGCUGCCACAACAUGGCAUGGCUAUUCCUUUUGAUAUCUGUUUGUCCUUAUGCAAACUUCCAAUGGGCGAUUGUUGCUCUUCUGCAUUUGUUUAUUGUGAAAUAAUUGUCUGUGACAGCAUAACAUGCAUUUGUUUCUCUAUCUAGGAAGGCUCAAUAAGGAUACCUGACUGUAUAUUUUUAACAUUACAACUUUUCUAUUCGCACUGAGAAUUGAAUGGAACAAAAAGAAAAGGAACAAAUAAUUCUCUUCGGCUUGUAAUUGUUAUAGAUAUUUGUAUCCUUUCACUUCUAUGGUUUUCAUUGCUCAUAACGAUUGAACGUGACCGCAGGCAUGGCUAUGUAUGAGUCGAUGCCUUGCAUUUGUUUCUGUGUAUAGGAAGAGCCAAACAAGGAUACCUGAAUAUAUUUUUCAACAUUAAGACUUUUCUAUUCCCAUCAAGAAGUGAAUGGAACAAAUAGGAACGAAUAAUUCUCUUCAGCUUAUAAUUGUUAUAGAUAUUCGUAUCUUUUCACUUUUAUGGUGUUUAAUGCUGACAACUUAUAAUUGUUAUAGAUAUUUGUAUCUUUUCACUUUUAUGGUGUUUAAUGCUGACAACUCCAUCGUAGGUGGACCCAAACACAGGCGUGGCGAUGUAUGAAUCAGAUGACAUCAUAAAAUAUCUGGUUAAUAAAUAUGGUGCAUUUUUUCUUGCCUUCUUGAAUUGUAUUCAUUAUUUUGGUUUUUGUAUAAUUAACUAGACCAAUACAUUUCGGUCCAUAUAUAUUGAUUCUCCUUUCUUAGUUGGUCAUAGAAAUUCUUGAGAAAAUUUACAAUUUUCAUAGAUAUUCCUGGUAAUAAAUCUCUAUGAAGUUUGGAUAGUGAGAAUAUAAGAUGUUUGUGUUCUUUUGAUAUUCAAUCUUUUGUCUCUGCAAAAUAUUUAGUGCCGUGCUCUCUGAUCUUUCUUUUCAGGUGAUGGAACCAUUCCUACAAUGCUCUCCCUUGGCCUUCUCACUGUAAGCUUCUCACAGUUACCUCCAUUUGAAAUGCACACACUUGCAUUUUUUAUAUUGCAAACGUGAUUAGCUAACAGAGCUGUGAUUGACUGGCUUAUUUUUGUAGACUCUAACAGCAGGCUUUGCUAUGAUUGGUCGGAUGGGAAAGGUAAAACUUUUAAACCCACUUUGUUUAAAUUUGUGAGUAGUUUCUAUUUUUCAUAUUUUUUGAAAUAUAUGAUGGUAUCCACCUGUUGUUUGAUGGAUCAAACAAUAAUACCUCUCACUGGGAAGGGUUUUGCUAAUACGAUAUAGCUCAUUAAUCUCUCUUCUUAAGAACUUACGUCUCUAUAUAGGGCUCUUCGUAUACUCCUUCAAAACUCCCUCCUCAACCACUUGAAUUAUGGGCAUAUGAGGUCUGCAAAUCUUUAAAAUUCUAAUGUAAAUUCAUUGAGAUAAUUGUUUUUCUUUCAGUUUCAAUCGAGCUGACAUAUGUUUCACUUUUUCAGGCCUCUCCUUUUUGUAAAAUUGUUCGUGAAGUGCUGGUUGAAUUAGAAUUACCCCACAUACUUCGAAGGUACAUUUUCGCUAUUCUCGGAGCCAAAUAUUUUCCACCUUCAUGUUAAGUAAUGUAAAACAAUCAUUUGUCUUCAACAGCUUAAGUUUGUAGCAAAUGGUGUUUUUAUAUUUUAUAUUCAACACUUUAUACAUAGAUGAAUUCAAUGACCUCAUUAAACAGAAUGCCAGGGAAAGUAACAAAUUAAUUUGGUCUAAGGAAGGAAAUAUCAUCCCGUUAAACUCUACGUUUUUGCCUAUCAUGUUAUCAUCAGUUUUAAAAAGACUUCUUUUUGCAAAAUGGUGGUGACAUGGUAUUAUACGAUUGCAGAAAAGUGUUUUGGAAUUCUCAAUGGACAUAUUCAGAACACGAAAUGCUCACUAGAGAAAGAUAUGGAAUAUUGAAAUCCUAUUUAUCAGAAUGGCUUUGUAACUUGGUUUUAAAGUUUCUUCUAUUAGUCAUAAUUUGUCUCUAAAAAAUAAAUUGUCAUUGCAGCACUGCACGCGGCAGCCCAAAAAGGCAGACACUAUAUGAGAAAGUUGGACAUUUUCAGGUUUUUUUUCCCCCAUAUUCUAUUGUGAUAGUAUUUCGCAAAGUAAUUUGGUAAAUGUAGGAGACCCCUUCAAUUACAUGGUCUAUUUUGAAAUGGCGACAUCCACUUCGUGAUUUUUUCAAUUUGAAUGAUUUUAGUCAAAUUAUAUUCUAAAUAUAUUAAAUUCAACAGCAGUUUUGCUAAAUUUAAUGUUUUAAUCACCUUUUAGCAAAACAAAAAAGAAUGUUACAAUAGUUAAUGCUAAAUAAGUGUAAAAUAACUUCUAGAGUUAUUAGAUUUAACGAACUUACCAGUUUAACUAGGUAUUGCUACUCAAAUCAAAAUAAAAUUGCAAGUCAAGAGAUGUCAAUGCAAAAAUAUAAAGCUGAGCCUCCUAUUUCAAAGUGGCCUGUAGCAGAGCAAUGCCGGUACAUUUUACUGAACAAUUUUAUAGCGUAAUCCUUAUUUUCCAAAAAAGAAAGAUAUUAUUUUACUGAUUUUGCUGUUAUCUAAAGUUUGUUUAGUCUGUCCUAGGUUUAUUUUUUCGAAAAAAGGUAUAGGGGCAGAAACCUAUACCUUUUAUUAAUUUAAAUUUGCUUUGUUUGAUCUACUAAAAUUCUUGGGCAGGUGCCUUACUUAGAAGAUGUUAACGCCGGAGUGAAAAUGUUCGAGAGUGCUGAGAUAAUAGACUAUCUCAGAGCAACAUAUGUCCUGUCUUAACAAUUAAAUCUUUACUUUAUAUAAUUACUUUUUUAGUCCUGUAUAUGUGUUGUUGUGUUUUCAACUUUUCUUUAUUCCUUCCUAAUUUUUGUAUAAUAUCCAAUUCUUUCAUGGUCGCAUGAACAAUUGCUUGAUUGCGAAGCAUGGGCAUUUAGCACAAUAAUAUAGUGCAGUGCCUGUAAUAACCUGUAUUCUUUUACUUGAGGUCGUGGUCCUUUCUUCUUGAAGAAGCGUCCUUGUGUUGCUCCUGUUUUGUUGGUUCGUAAAAUAAGAUGUGUAAAUUGAGCUUGAACUUCUGUUAAAGGGGCUUGUACGCUAACAUUUUGAUUUAUUUCUCGACAAUUCACGUACUUUACUUUAUAAUUUGGUUGGUUAUUUUUUAUUUCAAAGGAAAUAAAAUUCCUUCCAAACGGGAGAAUUCUGCUCACAUGGACAGCUGCGGGUUUCUUCUAUUUCCGAGGGGAAUCUGAAAAUAUUUUUAGAAUUCCAAAUUAAGCUUUCAUUUUAAUCUCAAUCAUAAAUUUGGAUUUAAAUGUAUUUUUAAAAUUCAAAUUUCAUACCUAACUUCACAUUUUGAAUUUGAUUCCGAAUUCAAAUUUAAAUUUUGAGUUCCAAAUUCAAAUUUUAAAUUUUGGAUUCGAAUUUUGAAUUUUAAUUUUAAUUUUGGCUUCAUAUUUUAAAUUCAAUUUGGAUUUUAUUAUUUGAAUUAUAAAUUCAAAUUUAGAUUUUUGAAUUGAUUUAAAAUUUAUAAUUUGAAUUUAUGUAAUGUGCUGGACCUCAGCAACUUAAUAAUGUUGCAGUUUCUGUUUGUGGUACGUAUUUGUUUUUGAUUUUUGGAGGUUAUUGGGUUGAGCUGAAUCCAUCCUAACAGGAAAUAGUUGCGAAAACGGAAUCUGAAAAUAUAUAUUCAGUUGAAAUUGGAGUUUCAGAACAUUUCAGACACUGGAAAGUGGUUGUGGGCAUCCGAAAGUACUGUGUCGAGUGAUUUGUGUUUUGGAUGGUCCCGAUUAGGUGGUGGACGCUCGAAAGUUGCAAUCAAGGUUUCGGAUGCUCGGAAGUAUAUUAGAUGCUCAGCUCAGAUUAUUGACAUCACUGCUUUGAGCAAAGUUGCGAGCAUCAGGAAGUUACUGUGGAGCCGGAAUAUUUGUGAAUAAGUGUCACGCUGUCGGGUCCAGCACAAUUCGGGCUCGCCAACAGAUUUGCCGCAUACACAAAAACUUUUGUAUACAGAAGCACCUGUAAAUAAUACGAGAAUCACUACAAGAGAGUUACAGAGCUACCAAAAUAGAAAUAAAUAGUCACAUAUAAUCCAAGGUGUAUAACAUAAACCGAAAGGACGACAACAAUGUCUCACAACUCUCAACAGAUGAAACAAAAUACGACGGUAUAUACAAGACUAAAAACAGCUACUAUCUCCAAAAUAGUACUUUUUUAGCUCAACGUCCAGGGUAGAUAGGAAUCUGCCUCGCGACGCCCUUAUCUCGAUCAGAAGUAGCAGUAGCAACCGACAGCUCUGCAAGAGCAAUAAUGGGUGUGAGAACUACUAUAAAACAAAAUAGUUCUCAGUGGGUACCAUCACCGAUCCCAAUGGCCUACCCACUAAGUUUAUAAGACUAGUAGUAUAGCUGGUAGGUAAAAUAAUAAUAUGAUAAGCUAGAAAAAUUCUACAGCUACUAUGCCACUAUACUACCACUACUCAUGUCAUACUCUCUGUGUACAUAUACAUCACUAGCUGAGGAAUAGUCACCACUGACCCAAUCCAAAAUGACUGCCAAUCGGCCAAUCCAACUAGUGCCUAAGCUACUCCACACACCAUCUACGGGGAUGGCCGAUCUACGUAGAAUAUCCAAAAGGGCUGUUGCGAUAUCAACGCAAUAAAGCCAGACUCCGAAGCGGCACUCGAGGGCGUGACUCUACCGAAUAUAGAAGCGUAUCUCUGUCAAGGUCAAUCAGGAUCACGCAAGCUGUAGUCAAUGCAAAUGCUCAAACGGGUCGAAAAACCGAAACUCACGUGCCUUUAGCACAAUCUGAUGCAAAAGGCAAAGAUUUGGCCACUGUGAGUCCGGACAGCACCCGACAACACGAAAUAACCUAAGCACUACUGUAAAAAAUCCAUUCGACAUCUUAGCACGAGCAUAAUCUCAACCUACACUAAUUUGAAUAUCCGCGACGCACUAACAGCGGCAAUACAAUAGUAAAAAUAGUUCCUGAAACUAAAUCUGAUCAAAUAGAUGACAAGUUCAAUGUGUAGGUUUUUUUCUAAGUCAAUUCUCAAUUCAGCAUGUAGUAAUCAUCUCAUCCAAACUAUCUAACUCAUGCUCAAAAUUCAGAUUUUAUAUAAUAAUAUGCAAAUCUACAAGUUGAGCCACAAAACAUGAUAAUUGAUACAAAUUAUUCAUGUUGAAAUUUCUACAACAUAGGAGGAAUUUCGAAAAUUUAAGUAGACAUUAACCCACCUGAAGAGCUAAUCCCACCACGAGAUAAAGAACUCGAGAGCCAACAAGCAACCAACCUCCUCUCAAACUAUUGCACUACUGGAGACUCUAGCAGCAGGUUCCGGACACCCUAAACAUGAGCCCAAAUCAGCCAACAAGCAAUCAAAAUUAGCAAGAGCUCAUACCUUGAGUCCAAAGCUCAAAUCUAGAAUUGAAGCUCUAAAAUUACUCAAACUCAUCUCCUAACAACAAGACCAAUCACCAAGGUAUGUUGCUUCACCAGUUCUCAGCUAAAACAGCAACCAAAACCCCCCCAAGACAAUUCGGAUCCAGAAAGGGAGGCCCAGUUCAGCAUCCAGAAAAAUAGCACUCAGCACCUCAACUCACUUCAAGCUGGAAUCUGAGAAUUCUAACUUGUAAAUCCAGUGGAAAGGGAAUCAAAAACCUCCAGAGGUGAGGAAAAAGCAAUUCAAAUCCAACAAUCAACUCUCUACCAAAAUCUGGAUUCAAAAUUCCAUCAAAAUCAUCAAUUCCUCCAAAAAUAGUACCUAACAAUCCAAAAUCUGAAAUGAACUUACCUUUCCAACAUGCAAACUCCGGUGAGAAAGCUUCAAAAUCAGAGAGGAAAGAUGGAUCCAAUUCCAAAUUCGAAAAUCUAACAAUGACAAUAAUCGGAUCAAGAAAAGUCCAAGAUUCUACUAGAAAACCCAAUUUCAGCUCAAAACCUCCAAUUCGAGUUAAUUUCAGCAAAUUAAUCUUACUACCCUGAAUUAAAUGAAGUUAGAAUUGCUCCAUACACUCUCCUUCAAGUCUACAAACCACGAAAUUAUUCUCCACAGCAAUUGGAAGCUCCAACAGAUCACAAUUCCUCAAAUUGCUAGAGUUGUUGCUUGAAUUCCUGUUGUGAAUGCCCAACCAUAGGGAGAAAUAAAGGAUUUGAGGAGGUUUGAGGGAGAUUUGAGUAAGGAAAUGGAGUUUGUUGCGAAGAAGGAAGGAAAAGAGCUCUUAGGGGUCGUCCAAAGCUUUUAUAAAAGCAGUGGAGAGGUAAAAUAAGCCAUAAGAAAAAUAGAAGCUAACGUACUUCAGCACUGAAAAUCCAAAUUCAGACACCCUAUACCCAGAACUGGGCGCCCUAAACAGCUCACCACUAUAGUCUAGCAAUUCGGGUUGACCCGCGUAAAGGUCCGAUGUGCCUAACCUGCACCGACGGCUCACACCUACCACAUGCCAUGUGUUCGAUAUUCACGAGAGAGAAUUCGGGCUCACAUUGCGAGCGCCCUAAACUAGAUCCGAAAUCACUUUAGCAAUAUGUACAAAACAGCGCUCUAGAUCUAGGCACCCUAAACCAUUUUUGGUUACCAGAUCUUUAGUUUUGGCUUAUUUGAGUGCGCCAAGUUUGUUUUUGCAUUCAUUUCAUGCUAAAAUGACUCCGACUCGUCCGACACUCUACAGAUGUGUUGACCAGUCACUAAUACUGUAGUCAUUUCGACAGUUUGUUUUUCAUUUGGUAGCUCAUUUCUUUACCUUUACCAACUUAUUAGCUUAGUUUCCUUUUCAUUACACCUCAUAGAGAGCCGAUUGCUCGCACACUUUUUUCAAUCGGCAGGUAGAUGGGGUCGGUUGCUCCGGACUCCCCCAAGUACCUCAUAGGGAGUCAAUUGCUCGCACACCUCUCUUCUCCUUUGACACUUUCGGAAUGUCACUCUUUUUACCAUUAUACCCUAAGUCCAUGACUCUAGAGUUAAUACUCAUUGUCUAAUUUACACAACUUGUUCUUUGGUUCUCAUGUUACGUAGAGUUCACAUGUCUCUAAGUCUCAUCUUAGAUUUUGAGCUAAGUUUAGAUGCCACACUUGUUUAAUCUAUUUCCUAGGUUCACAUUACUCAUACAUGCACUUGACCACUUUUCCCAUUUACAUAAGAGUUAAACUGUAGUUUUUUUUUCCUAGCAUGCAACUAAGUCACAUUUAGAUCAAUAUUUAAUAUUUUAGCAUGCUAAUAAAAUUAAAAAAUAAUAGACAGAGAGAAAUCACCCCUUUUUCAGUAAUAUUUCCUACCUUUUUUAGAUCCUGCACUAAAGAGAUGGACUUGAUCUCUUGAAUCACAAGAAAACUCCUAAAAAUUGUUCUAGCACAAUUAUAACCCCCAAAAAUCCUAUUUAUAAAUUCUAAAAUUAAAACUCUAAAAUUACUCGCCUCUCCUCUUCUAUAGAGCAAAACGUAGAUGAGAGGAUUGUCUUCAACCUUGUAGAGUUUCCUCUUGAAGUUCUAGACCACCUUCAAGCUCCAAAUGAGAUCAAUCCCAAGCUCAACAAUAGAAAAAUGGGUUCCUCUUUGUUUCUAGAGAAAGGAGGAGGAGAAAGAAGGUGAAGAGGGGUGAAAUGGCUGAGAGGAUUAUAGUUUCAGUGAAAAUUUUUUUAUAGGGUUGCAACAAUAGCAACGAAACCCUCAAAAAUUUUUAUUUGGAUUAAG